rnacentral:rRNA from 1 species
CGAAAGGCGGUUGUGUCGCGACUUUGACACGCAACUAGCACACGAUCACAUUUGAAAUCUAGCACUUUCAGUGUUCGAGUUGUAAUUUGAAGAAGGUAACUUUGGUUUUGGCUCUUGUCUAUGUUCCUUGGAACAGGACGUCACAGAGGGUGAGAAUCCCGUGCGAUGAGAUGCCCAAUUCCAUGUAAAGUGCUUUCGAAGAGUCGAGUUGUUUGGGAAUGCAGCUCUAAGUGGGUGGUAAAUUCCAUCUAAAGCUAAAUAUUGGCGAGAGACCGAUAGCGAACAAGUACAGUGAUGGAAAGAUGAAAAGAACUUUGAAAAGAGAGUGAAAAAGUACGUGAAAUUGUUGAAAGGGAAGGGCUUGAGAUCAGACUUGGUAUUUUGCGUUCCCUUCCUUUUUGGUUGGGUUCCUCGCAGUUUACUGGGCCAGCAUCGGUUUGGAUGGUAGGAUAAUGACAUUGGAAUGUAGCUUUACUUCGGUGAAGUGUUAUAGACUUUGUUGAUACUGCCUAUCUAGACCGAGGACUGCGUCUUUGACUAGGAUGCUGGCGUAAUGAUCUUAAGCCGCCCGUCUUGAACAACGGACACCA